rnacentral:rRNA from 1 species
GUGGGCAACGUACUGCAGGUACCCAUACCCCUGCAGACAUCACCACUGUGUAUGCCUCGGCGGAUCAGCCCGCUCCCGGUAAAACGGGACGGCCCGCCAGAGGACCCCUAAACUCUGUUUCUAUAUGUAACUUCUGAGUAAAACCAUAAAUAAAUCAAAACUUUCAACAACGGAUCUCUUGGUUCUGGCAUCGAUGAAGAACGCAGCAAAAUGCGAUAAGUAAUGUGAAUUGCAGAAUUCAGUGAAUCAUCGAAUCUUUGAACGCACAUUGCGCCCGCCAGUAUUCUGGCGGGCAUGCCUGUUCGAGCGUCAUUUCAACCCUCAAGCCCUCGGGUUUGGUGUUGGGGAUCGGCGAGCCCUUGCGGCAAGCCGGCCCCGAAAUCUAGUGGCGGUCUCGCUGCAGCCUCCAUUGCGUAGUAGUAAAACCCUCGCAACUGGAACGCGGCGCGGCCAAGCCGUUAAACCCCCAACUUCUGAAUGUUGACCUCGGAUCAGGUAGGAAUACCCGCUGAACUUAAGCAUAUCAAUAAGUGGAGGAAG